rnacentral:tRNA from 1 species
GCGACAUUGGUGUAGUGGUUAGCAUUAAUGCCUUCCAAGCAUUAGAGGGGGGUUCGAUUCCCCCAUGUCGCA